rnacentral:rRNA from 1 species
UACGUAGGUGACAAGCGUUGUCCGGAUUUACUGGGCGUAAAGAGCGUGUAGGCGGUCCGGUAAGUCGGCUGUGAAAGUCCAGGGCUCAACCCUGGGAUGCCGGUCGAUACGGGCAGGCUAGAGUUCGGUAGGGGAGACUGGAAUUCCUGGUGUAGGCGGUGAAAUGCGCAGAUAUCAGGAGGAACACCGGUGGCGAAGGCGGGUCUCUGGGCCGAUGACUGACGCUGAGGAGCGAAAGCGUGGGGAGCGAACAGG